rnacentral:ncRNA from 2 species
UAUUUAGAUUACCUCCGAGCUUGGGAACCUGUGAUAUUAGGUUAUGGUUCUCUAGCCGAUAGGGUUCACCUGGAAACGGGUGUGCCUCCCGUGUGGAAAGGAUGGUAGGUUUAUUAAAC